rnacentral:snoRNA from 1 species
AUGACCUUACUUGAACAGGAUUUCUUCUAUCGAAUUGUACUGUUGCAUCCUUGUGACUAAUAAGGAGGCAAGCACUCAAGCUUGGUUGUUGACAUCUGGCCUGUGGGCCAGAGCAUGAUUAACGGCUGGGAUCAGUCUGAUUCUUCUUCAGCUCUUGCUGUCCAGGGUUGCCUCACAGGCGCUCUCUCU